UAUGUUUUUCUAGCAUAGUUUACAUUCGCGCGAGAUUGUCGCUGGUGUUCAUUCUUUCGAGUCUUCUUAGUAAUUGAAAUUUGCAAAUUGUUAAUCGUACAGCACGCGUUAAAUUAUACCUCUGUCAGGUAUAAAAAGCGUGGAGUAGCUUUCUUGUAAGUAUCUUAAUAGAAAAAUUGAAUCGUAAUCGUUGGGGAGUAGUUAGUCUGGUCUUUAAAGAAUGAUCGAUCGACGCAGGGAAAAUAUUGUAAUACCGUUCCACGUGAACGUACUUUAAAUUCGCGUAUGAAUGAAGCCAUUCGCGUGCAGUGAUGAUUCAGACGAGAACCAAUGUAUAUAAGCCAUGUUCCACCCCGUCUCGUCACACCCUCUUCGUAAUUCUUUCUUUUCCCUCGGCUUUCGUUUUUUAUUCUCCUUCUACCUCAAAUCUUCUUCAACAUUUCGCUCGUUACCGAUGCGAUCGAAGAAAAAGAAAGAAUAGAACGGGUUGCGACAAAAUUUCUUGUAUUAUCGGUAGAGUACCGUGCUGGAUACGACUGUUCCUAAUGUAGCGAUCAACGUGUUAAUCCAAGCGGAUAAAAAAUCCGUCCGCAACGCCUACGAACGCCAUGAAAGCACGUAGAAAUUGCAUCCGUUAGAACAGGGUGUUGGCUGCUCUCUUAACACUAUGGAGGCACUAUCGUGCACGUAUAAUUGGCUGGUGCAAGUGUUAAGAAUGCAAAUCGCCCGAUACCGGGGACCAUUCAAUCGCGAACAUACGCACAAGCAUGCAGCUCCCCCCCACUAGACACUACUAUUUACAUAUUUACGUAACUCUAUCUUCGCGUGCAUCUACACUGUAUCUAUUAUUAAUUUUUUUUUUUUAAUUUUAUUUUAGAUCGCUCGUAACUACUUGCGUCAGCUUUUCGCUUAACGAGCAAAGGGAACGGUGCGCUCAGAUUUAUUUUAUUCGAGAUUUCGAUGUUAAUGAUGGAAGGAGAAUACACAACACGUUUCUCAGACUCUAACAAACCGAGACACGGAUAUUGCCGCAAUACGUUGCAUAGUUUUCAAACCUGCGCCACGUUAUUGAACUGUGUGGAUGGACGUGAGCCUUGGAUGCUUUGUGCACGUGCAAUAUUUAUGGAACGCAGGUUCACAGUACUUUGUAACACUUUUCUUCCACUCGUUACUUUAAAUAGAAAUUCGAAAGAGGAUUAUUCAGAUAUUCUAUUAUUUCCUUUCUAAUUAAACGACGUUUAUUGUCGGUGAAAUUCAAUUGCAGAUGGAAUUGCAUAUCAUAUUACCUAGAAAGUCUAACAGGAUUUGAUGACAUAAAAGUGGCGCAAAAUAGUACUUGUGGCACAUCAAUUUCCGGCUUAAAGUCUGCUAAGAAUGUCUGCUACACAAACAUUUUAUUUAACUUAAAUAAUGAAAGUAGCUUAGAACACUGCCAGUCUAACUUUGAAAAAUCUUUCUUUUCUAGAUUUCCUUCUUAUUCGACGUAAGGAUAAUACUGCUGUAUCAUUGUAUUUUGUGACUGAUAACGAACAGUCAUUCUUUGACUCGUGUUCUCCCACCUUUGAAACAGACGGACCUGGUAUUAACGUAUCAUUCAAAUCAUUGAAAAUAAAAGUGGCUGCAAUAACAAGUUACGGAACAGGACUUCUUUAUCUUAAAGCAUAAGAUUACUCGUUAAGCCGCACGUAAUAAAGUGACGGUCACUCGUUAUUAUGCAGGCAUUGCGCAUUACAUGCUUCCAGCUCAUACUAUUAAAAUAGUAAUGAGAAGAUCUAGGCAGAGAGAUUCCUUGCUUGUGCUAAAUACCUUGGUCAUCAAAGAAUACAAGUUCUUCGAAGAAUAAUUGUCUCUCAUCUCAGUUUCUUAUCCGUGUAAGAAACUUCAAGAUUCCAUUGAUUACAUUGAUUAUUAUUAAUUGUUCCACCAGGCAUGGUCGGACGAGACGUUUAUGUUGUUGCCGAGAAGGCUUUCGGAAACUUGCCCGUUUGCUGGCAGAGACAAAGUUCCUUUGUACGAAUCUCCUCUUCUCCGACUAAAAAUAAUCGUGGACUUGUUCGCGACUUGUUGAUUCGAAGGGCUUUCCAGCCUGAUUAAAAGUGGUGCCGCUAGAUUUAUGAGUGGAAUCUGCGAUCAAAAUCUCCCCUCGUAUCCGAGGCUCGCUCGUUUUACCGUAAAUAUAGUGUAAAAUAUAGGUACUAUUUGCAGAGAGAGAGAGCGAGGAACUCGAGAAGUACUCUGAAAUGGAUUUUUUAGAAACUUGAAAAAGACUCAGUCUCGUCACAGAUUCAUCUGAAAGUGUAUCUUUCUUAACAGAUAUAUAAUUAGAAUUAACCCCACUUGGACUUGAAUGUCACAAGAAAAAGGAUGUUAAAUAUAAAUAAUGAGUUCAUAGGAAAUGAACGUACAAACUAAUGUAACAGGAAGCGUGUCGAAAAAUAGGACGUUCAACUAGGUAACCGCUCAAUUAUGAGUUGGUACGGUCGUGUCUAAUUAUUUUGCACGGUUCAGCGAGAGAAAAUUAAACUAAACGACUGUACUGUUCCACGAGAAUCUUUCGACAACAUCGCUAACUGGAUAAUCGCGUAAUUGUCAGUCAGUAAGAGUUUUCCACGUCGACCAAUUGCUCCCGGUGUGCUCGUUAAAAUUGCCGCAUACGGUUCUUCAAGCUUUUUCCCUUCUUUUCAAUCAUCGUAUAUUCCAACUGUAAUUAUAACGAGCUGUCAGACGUUACACAGUCGUUGUUUAAAACACGAAACAAGGGGUGAAAAAACAUUGUACUUUCAUGGAAUUAGAUUAUGAGCUUGAAUGCCAUUACUCUCUCUCUCUCUCUUGACUUAAUUCGAUUUUCCCUUGUAAUUUGCAGAAACGAGACUUGUAUUGUUUACAAUUGAGCGUCGAAAGCGUCUUGCCGACUUGUUUGAAGUGCUGUUUCUUCUCCAAGUGAAACAUUUCGACGUCAUUUGCAGGUUUCCCUGAAACUACUUCAGUGCAGGUAUAAAAACACUGAGAAUAUUUCAAAAUUUCAAUGCACAGAGACACUCGAGAAACGAAACGUUUGACGCAGAGAAAGGAUUAAAUUAGUCUCGAGACUGUGAAUAAAAAAAUGCAAGCCAACGGAAAUGAAAAAUCAGAAGGAAACGAUUGUUCGAGGUCGACACGUGUAUUGAUUGAUUCCAUGACGCAGUUACGAUGUCAUCUAAACACCUUGGCUGGAUUGUUGAUUAGUUUCACGCGAUAUCGAUUUGCGUACGUAAGAUGGGAUUUAAACUCGCGUGCUGACAUGCAGUUUGCGCUUACGGUGCAACGGACUGUGAGAGUUAUGCAGCUGCAGUUCGUUAGAAGUGCAUGACCUCCGGCGUUGCGCGAAUUGAGAUAUUGAAAUUUACGUUUUCGCCAGGGAAGAACGCCAAUUUCUAUCGUAAAUUGGACACUCGGACCAUUAAGUUGAAAUCCUUGUGAAAGAAAUAAACACGCAACAUAGUUUAAUGAGAUAGCAACACUAAUAAUGACUAUACAAAAAAGGAGAUUGUACAGCCAUUAACUGCAGACUGUUCGUAAGAAAACGGAUGAAAAAUUACUUUAUGAUUUUUAGAUGUACCAGUGAUUGGAAAUUGGAUCGUUUAUUAUUCAAUAAAACACGUUUCCAAAUAACGUGUAUAAAUAGUAUCACACGAGAAUAAAUAUUUAACGUUGUGUUAAUUGCCGGUUAUACCAGGAUCAUAUUAUAAUAAAUUGUUAUGCAAUACUUGCGAGAGAUGUAAAUCGUGUCACUGAUAAUUAUCGCCCGCGAAAUUGUCCAGGUGUCAAAUGCCAGUGUAAAUAAUUGAUAUAUUUACUAACGAGGUCGUAACGAAUAGUACGAUUAAGAACUCGAGGCAAGCUGGAAUUUGAUGAUAAUUUGUUCGAGCAACAAGUAGCUGAAGGAAUGAAAUCUCUGCUAGAUUUGUGUUUACCAGAUUAACACUUUGACGACCAUGCAUUUCAUUAGAUCUAUUUUCUGUAAUGUACUUUGCAAAGUUACCACUUUUCAAGUGAUAACGUGCAGUACAGUGGAUACAAAGGUAUAGAAUGAAAUGAAUUGAAAUAGCAAAAAGGCGAACAUAUGGUAUUGAAAUGAAUUUUUUCAUGUGUGCUAUUUCUGUACGAGACAAUAAUUAACCACCAGACAUCGUUGCAAGAACACAGCCUGUUUAGAAUUUUUGUUUGAAACAUUUCAGUAAGAAAAGAAAAGUACAAUCUUAUUAACAAAAGUAACUUACCUGUAAUGUGAAGAUGAUCGUCGAAGACCUUGGGGUACGAAAUUCAAUAAGCUUCAGGGGAAUGGAAACCUACAGACGACUUGGUGCUUAAACGAAAUGAACGGAAAGCGUCGUUAAUUUGGUUUAAACCGAACAAUACUGGCCUCUAACGUGCCUUUUGUUGCUGCUCUUUAUUCGUGGGAACACUCUCGUAACUAGAUUAUCCAUCUGGUCGAGGGGAUUAGUUUCUCAUUACUAAUCAUUUAACGUUGACUGAUACACAAUGAUCAAUUAAUAAUUCACUACAUAAUAUCAUCUUUGUUAAUAUUACAAAUACCUUCACCAGGAUCUGGAAGGUUCAAUGAUAAUCCGGUUUAUCCUUCAGUUAUUAUCUGUGUAAUAUACCUAUGCUCGUUUCACGGAUCAUUAAUCGCUAAUUAUGCCUCAAAUGAUCUGUUUAAAAAUUAAAAACUUGGAAGACUGUGUUACUUUCCAUCCACUUUGCUUUAACAACUAUUUGGAUAGAAUUCUCUUUGAUGAAACUCGAGCUUUCCAAGAUCUCUCUUGAUCUUCCUUCUUCAAAAUUUUAUAUCUCAAGAUGGUAGUUGAUAUCGUUCAGGUAAUACGUUUUCUCAUCUGAUUACAGAUAUUCAGGAAUGAUUCCCAGGGCACGACGAUAUACAUUGAAAUUCUGAAACUUGAUAUGCAAAUUAGGAUCCUCCUUCUUCGUGUAGCCAGUUUCCAUAGGACUGUAUUCCCCGGUAAUUUCGUUCAACGCAGAGCUAAUGGUUUAAUAGGAUCUCUCGAUCGGUUUGUAAUUAAUCAACCCUUGCCUGGAUAAUGAGCUCUUUUCGAAUCCAUCGAUAUCACUCUACUCGAAGACAAUGUCCAACGUUCGCUUUAAGGCCUUAUCGUCCAUCGUUUUGAUAUAAAAGAAAUCCCUUUACUGCCAUUGAAGUAGAUGAAAAGAUUGUGAAAAUCAGGGACAGGAGCAAGGACAAACGAGAGUCGUUUAAAUUUAGCUGAAGCUGUUUGCCCCCCUUUUAAACUGUAUAGAACUGGCGUCGAUGUUGCUUGUACAGGGAAGCCGUUAUCGAUCGUACCCAGCAUUUAUAAAUAAAGAUUUAGCAUUCUGCUGGAAUGUCGAGCGGAAGUAACGCGUUCGAAGAAGUGUGUAAAAUGCGGCUGAAUGAAAAAGGUGAAAGUGCGGUUUACAUGUCGGGUUUCCUCGCAGAGACCAAGCGUGGACACCUGUGACGAUCGGUUUUUCGAGAACCAUCAACGAAUCCUGCGAAUUCGUUCCUUUCGACGAUUUCAAGCAAUUCAUAGAGCAUAAUCUUCUUAAUAUUUUCUUUAAUCCGACGGAUCGAUUUUAAUAUAUUCGUUUUC